ACGGAGGGGGCUAGCGUUGUUCGGAAUUACUGGGCGUAAAGCGCACGUAGGCGGCUUUGUAAGUUAGAGGUGAAAGCCCAGGGCUCAACCUUGGAACUGCCUUUGAUACUGGCUAUCUUGAGUACGGGAGAGGUGAGUGGAACUCCGAGUGUAGAGGUGAAAUUCGUAGAUAUUCGGAAGAACACCAGUGGCGAAGGCGACUCACUGGCCCGUUACUGUCGCUGAGGCGCGAAAGCGUGGGGAGCAAACAGGA
rnacentral:rRNA from 1 species